UACGAAGGGGGCUGGCGUUGCUCGGAAUCACUGGGCGUAAAGGGUGCGUAGGCGGGUCUUUAAGUCAGGGGUGAAAUCCUGGAGCUCAACUCCAGAACUGCCUUUGAUACUGAGGAUCUUGAGUUCGGGAGAGGUGAGUGGAACUGCGAGUGUAGAGGUGAAAUUCGUAGAUAUUCGCAAGGACACCAGUGGCGAAGGCGGCUCACUGGCCCGAUACUGACGCUGAGGCACGAAAGCGUGGGGAGCAAACAGG
rnacentral:rRNA from 1 species